AUUGAACGCUGGCGGCAGGCCUAACACAUGCAAGUCGAACGAGUGGCGGACGGGUGAGUAAUGUCUGGGACACUGCCAGAUGGAGGGGGAUAACUACUGGACACAGUAGCUAAUCCCGCAAACCCUGGGAUGUGCCCAGAUGGGAUUAGCUAGUAGGUGGGGUAACGGCUCACCGAGGCGACGAUCCCUAGCUGGUCUGAGAGGAUGACCAGCCACACUGGAACUGAGACACGGUCCAGACUCCUACGGGAGGCAGCAGUGGGGAAUAUUGCACAAUGGGCGCAAGCCUGAUGCAGCCAUGCCGCGUGUAUGAAGAAGGCCUUCGGGUUGUAAAGUACUUUCAGCGAGGAGGCGUUACUCGCAGAAGAAGCACCGGCUAACUCCGUGCCAGCAGCCGCGGUAAUUC
rnacentral:rRNA from 1 species